CGGUGAGCAUGUGGUUUAAUUCGUAAGCAACGCGAAGAACCUUACCUGGCCUUGACAUGCUGAGAAUUUCCUAGAGAUGGAUGUGCUUCGGAGCUCAGACACAGGUGCUGCAUGGCUGUCGUCAGCUCGUGUCGUGAGAUGUUGGGUUAAGUCCCGUAACGAGUCGCAACCCUUGUCCUUAGUUACCAGCACGUAAUGGUGGGAACUCUAAGGAGACUGCCGGUGGACAAACCGGAGGAAGGUGGGGAUGACGUCAAGUCAUCAUGGCCUUACGGCCAGGGCUACACACGUGCUACAAUGGUCGGUACAAAGGGUUGCCAAGCCGCGAGGUGGAGCUAAUCCCAUAAACCGAUCGUAGUCCGGAUCGCAGUCUGCAACUCGACUGCGUGAAGUCGGAAUCGCUAGUAAUCGUGAAUCAGAAUGUCACGGUGAAUACGUUCCCGGGCCUU
rnacentral:rRNA from 1 species